rnacentral:rRNA from 1 species
AGUGAACGCUGGCGGUAGGCCUAACACAUGCAAGUCGAACGGCAGCACAGUAAGAGCUUGCUCUUACGGGUGGCGAGUGGCGGACGGGUGAGGAAUACAUCGGAAUCUACUUUUUCGUGGGGGAUAACGUAGGGAAACUUACGCUCAUACCGCAUACGACCUACGGGUGAAAGCAGGGGAUCUUCGGACCUUGCGCGAUUGAAUGAGCCGAUGUCGGAUUAGCUAGUUGGCGGGGUAAAGGCCCACCAAGGCGACGAUCCGUAGCUGGUCUGAGAGGAUGAUCAGCCACACUGGAACUGAGACACGGUCCAGACUCCUACGGGAGGCAGCAGUGGGGAAUAUUAGACAAUGGGCGCAAGCCUGAUCCAGCCAUACCGCGUGGGUGAAGAAGGCCUUCGGGUUGUAAAGCCCUUUUGUUGGGAAAGAAAAGCAGCAGGUUAAUACCCCGCUGUUCUGACGGUACCCAAAGAAUAAGCACCGGCUAACUUCGUG